rnacentral:misc_RNA from 1 species
AACCAUAGAAACCUGCGGAGUACCUGCGGAGGGAUCAUUAUAGUAUAUGGAAUCUCCAUUCUAUGAACCCACUCUGCGUAUCUUGUAACUGUUGCUUCCAUGGGACUUGGUUCCGCCACACCGGCUUCACGGCUGGUGAGCGCCCAUGGAAGGAGAAACAAAACUCUUCUUUGAAAUGUAGUCAGUCUGAACAAGUUUUUAUAAACGUUAAAACUUUUAACAAUGGAUCUCAGAUCGGAA